UACGUAGGAGGCGAGCGUUGUUCGGAUUCAUUGGGCGUAAAGGGUGCGUAGGCGGCGCGGUAAGUCGGGUGUGAAAUCUUGGAGCUUAACUCCGAAACUGCAUUCGAUACUGCCGUGCUUGAGGACUGGAGAGGAGACUGGAAUUUACGGUGUAGCGGUGAAAUGCGUAGAUAUCGUAAGGAAGACCAGUGGCGAAGGCGGGUCUCUGGACAGUUCCUGACGCUGAGGCACGAAGGCCAGGGGAGCAAACGGG
rnacentral:rRNA from 1 species